CCGAGUUUACAACUCCCAAACCCAUGUGAACAUACCUAUUGUUGCUUCGGCGGGUUGCCCUCGGGCGCCCGUCGGGGACCCCAAACUCUUGCUUUUAUAACUGAAAUUCUGAGUGGCCGCAAGGCAAAACAAUAAAUUA
rnacentral:misc_RNA from 1 species